GGCUUGGGCCCAUGCUGACCCAUGGAAACACAACAUGAGCCACACAUCAAGCCACAUAUGUGAUUUAAACUUUUCUAGUAGCCAUGUUAAGCAAGUAAAGCAAAGCAGCUCCUAGGACUUCCCUUCUAGCUGACGAUGUCAUCACUCCAACCACUGCAUCCAUAGCCACAAACCCUCCAACGGUCUUGUCUCAAUCUUUCCCCUGUAAAGACCCUUGUUGCCUACCCUGGGCCCACCAGAUAAUCCAGAGUCAUCUGACCGUGUCAAGAUCUUGACCUUCAUCACAUCUGCAAAGUCCCCUUUGCUGUGAACCAAAUGAAAAGAGAUGGAGUGAUUCAGACCAAAGACCACAGCGAGUCGGGAAUAAAACAGCACCUGGUAUAGUCACUAGGAUUACAACCCCAGCAAAACAUCUGUGUGGACGAGGGGG